ensembl:snRNA U6 U6 spliceosomal RNA
GUGCUUCCUUCAGCAGCACAUAUAAUAAAAUUGGGAUGACAGCGAAGAUUAGCAUGGCCUCUGCAUGAAGAUGAUAUGCAAAUUCAUGAAAUGUUCCAUAUUUUA